UACGAAGGGGGCUAGCGUUGCUCGGAAUUACUGGGCGUAAAGCGCACGUAGGCGGCUCUUUAAGUCGGGGGUGAAAUCCUGAAGCUCAACUCCAGAACUGCCUUCGAUACUGUAGAGCUUGAGUUCGGGAGAGGUGAGUGGAACUGCGAGUGUAGAGGUGAAAUUCGUAGAUAUUCGCAAGAACACCAGUGGCGAAGGCGGCUCACUGGCCCGAUACUGACGCUGAGGUGCGAAAGCGUGGGGAGCAAACAGG
rnacentral:rRNA from 1 species